rnacentral:rRNA from 1 species
AUUGAACGCUGGCGGCAGGCCUAACACAUGCAAGUCGAGCGGAUGAAGGGAGCUUGCUCCUGGAUUCAGCGGCGGACGGGUGAGUAAUGCCUAGGAAUCUGCCUGGUAGUGGGGGAUAACGUCCGGAAACGGGCGCUAAUACCGCAUACGUCCUGAGGGAGAAAGUGGGGGAUCUUCGGACCUCACGCUAUCAGAUGAGCCUAGGUCGGAUUAGCUAGUUGGUGGGGUAAAGGCCUACCAAGGCGACGAUCCGUAACUAGUCUGAGAGGAUGAUCAGUCACACUGGAACUGAGACACGGUCCAGACUCCUACGGGAGGCAGCAGUGGGGAAUAUUGGACAAUGGGCGAAAGCCUGAUCCAGCCAUGCCGCGUGUGUGAAGAAGGUCUUCGGAUUGUAUAGCACUUUAAGUUGGGAGGAAGGGCAGUAAGUUAAUACCUUGCUGUUUUGACGUUACCAACAGAAUAAGCACCGGCUAACUUCGUG